UCAUUGAAGUGAAAGCGCACGCUUUGUUCGGUGGUGGGGUGGCGUACGGGUUCACAGUCCACCGCUCAGCCUGCAAGCCACUGAGACGAAAGGGAAGUGGGAACAAGUUGACAAAAUUUCAGCUUAGUACCUUUCCCAGUGGACCUACCGCGUUUAGGCCCCAAAAAGAAAUUAAAAUUUUGAGUUAGGACGCAAAAUUUACCUUGGAUUUUGGCAAGAGGUUCGUAUAUUACAGCGACGCAUACAUUUCUGGUGUCAAGACUAAGGAAUCAAAGGCUAACAACCAACAGAUAAUGGAGUAUCAUAUGAAAAUGACAUUAACAUGCUCAACAAGCAAAAGAUAAGGUGUUACGUUCAGAAAAAGAAAGCCAAAAAGAUAGUUGUGAAAGUGUCAGGCGCAUUUGUAUGUGGUGUGUGUUGUAAAUUCUUAUACCGAUGGUUGCAUCAUGGGAAGAAACCGGGAGAAUGGAAAUCUGAAA